CAGCCGCCGCGGGAAUACGAGGGGGGCAAGCGUUGUUCGGAAUUAUUGGGCGUAAAGCGUGCGCAGGCGGUCCGUUAAGACAGAUGUGAAAUCCCCGGGCUUAACCUGGGAACUGCAUUUGUGACUGGCGGGCUAGAGUAUGGCAGAGGGGGGUAGAAUUCCACGUGUAGCAGUGAAAUGCGUAGAGAUGUGGAGGAAUACCGAUGGCGAAGGCAGCCCCCUGGGCCAAUACUGACGCUCAUGCACGAAAGCGUGGGGAGCAAACGGGAUUAGAUACCCCAGUAGUCCCUGUCUCUUAUAC
rnacentral:rRNA from 1 species